rnacentral:rRNA from 1 species
UGUAAGCCAGGUCGGUUUCUAUCUUUAUUAAAUUUAAAUAUUUUAGUACGAAAGGACCAAAUAUUUAAUAUAUAUAUAUUUUUAUUUUUGAAUAUUAAUA